CACUAUUCAUUUGCAUAUAUUUGCAUCCCUGGCACUUGAUAACUCUCCCAGUUUUACGCCUGUCAUUCUGAAGCCGGGCUGCCUGGUGGCGAUAAUACCUGGGAGGCAACAGAAAGAGUUACAUUAACAGCAGCAUCAUGUUACCGAUUUGUUUGAUUUGGCUCAUCUUGAGUUUCUUUGAGGGUAAGUCAUAAGAGGUGUGUGGUUCUGUCUGAGUUUCUCAGGCCAAUGUUGUGGAUUUUGCAGUGCGCUUUUUGUUCCUCUCCUUCCAGGAUCCAGGGGACAGAUUGUCAUCACUCAAAUACCAGCUUCCAUACAGGCAAGUCCUGGAGACAGAGUCACCAUCCAGUGCCAAGCUUCCUCUUCCAUGGGUGAUGAUAUGGCCUUAUAUCAGUUUAAACCAGGACAGAAACCCAAGCUUCUUAUUUAUGAUGCUACGAGCCGUUUUGAAGGGACCCCAGAUCGCUUCAGUGGUACCUACAGUAACACUGACUUCUCGUUCACCAUCAGCAGCGUCCAUGUCGAGGAUGAAGCAGACUAUUUCUGUGGCCAAGACUACAGCACUCCUCUC